AGGUUGUAUGAUGCUGUGUGUGAAAUAAAUAAUGUGCGGCAGAGGCAGGCCAUGGAGGUGUACAGAACUUGUCGUCGCCGGAAGCAUCUGUAACUUUUCUCUUCAUGGUCGCGGCAACAAUGUUUCUAUUUUGAUUACGCUUAUUUUUCGAUGUUCUUCCAGUCAGUUUACAUGGGCAAUGUAGAUUGAACAUGUGAACGCGUUUACUUUGUUCUGCUCUUAUGGAAGUUUUAGAUUAAUUUAGUCUAAAACUGCAGUCUGAACGCUAUAAUUACCCCCAAAAAAUUGAAUCCCUGUGACCUGAACUGGAUUUAAAUUUGGUAAAAUAUAAAAGGCACUUUUUUUUGCGUCUUCGGAAUCUAUUUCGACGUGAAGAUUUGUUUUCGCUAGAUCCCCAACAACGUGCGGUUUUAUGUUCGAUGCCUCACGGCAUUGUUCUGUCUCGACCAGGCAUGUAAGGUCCCUCGAGCUGAGGAAUGAGUGGCCGCGAGCAAUCGGGCGGUGAACACUAUUUUCGGAUUUAAGAACUGGGUGGAAUAUCUGAAGUUUCUGAACAUGGAUAUUACAGUGUCAGAGUUGAUGGGAAACUUCAUGGAUACGCCGCUGGUGGUGUGGGUGAAGACCUUUGGACCCCUGGGCUCUGGCUCAGAGGACAAACUCUCCAUGUUCAUGGAUCUGGUGGAUGGUGUCUUCCUGCACAAGAUCAUGACACACAUAGACCCCAGCCCCACAAAUCAGAGAGUGAAUAAGAAUGUGAACAAUGAUGUGAACCUACGAAUCCAGAACCUCAACAUUGUGAUCAGGCACAUCAAGAACUACUACCAGGACAGUCUCCAGCAGCUCAUCCUGAUGACCCUGCCUAAUGUGCUGACCAUCGCGAAGGACCCCCUCUCAGGCAAGGGCAUGGAGGAGGUGAAGAGACUGCUGCUGUUGAUCCUAGGCUGUGCUGUACAGUGUGAGAGGAAAGAAGAGAUCAUUGAGAAAAUCAAACUGCUCGACAUCGAGAAGCAGGCAGCCAUCGUCUCCCACAUUCAGGAGGUGACUCAUAACCAGGAGAAUGUGUUGGACAUGCAGUGGCUGGAGCUGCCAGACAUGCCCCCUGAGGAGCUCAACCCCCUGUCCCGUAACAUGGCCCUGCACCUCCGCAAACUCAUAGAUGAACGAGAUGAAUGUGCAGAGGUGAUCGUGGAGCUGACCCAGGAGAAGGACUACCUCCAGUCCCAGCAGCCCUCCAAUCACAUGGGUUACCCCUGUCCUGAGAGGAAUGUGUUGGGCCUGGACGGACCCGUCUCACUGCUGUCCAAAGAGGACCGCCAGCACCUGGCUGUGGAGCUGGCCGACACUAAAGCCAAACUGAGACGCUCACGGCAGGAACUGGAGGAGAAGACUGAGCAUCUGAUGGAUACCAAACAUGAGGUGGAGAGGCUGGACCUGGAGAUGCAGAAACUCAAGCAAGAGAACAUGCAGGUGCUGGCGGAGGCACGGUCGGUACGUGCCUACAGGGAUGAGGUGGAUGCUCUGAGGGAGAAGGCAGCCAAGGUGGACAGACUGGACACAGAGCUGUCACGCUGCAAGGAGAGGCUACACGACGUCCACUUCUACAAGACACGAGUCGAGGAGCUGAGAGAGGACAACGUGACUCUGAUUGAUACCAAAGCCAUGCUGGAAGAGCAGCUGGGGGCAGCCAGGGGGCGCUGUGACAAACUACAUGAGUUGGAGAAGGAGAACCUGCAGCUGCGCUCCAAACUCCACGACAUGGAGAUGGACCGGGUCACAGAUAAGAAGCGCCUGGAGGAGUUGAUAGAGGAGAACAUGCUGCUGGAGAUCUCUCAGAAACAGAGCAUGAACGAGUCUACCCACCUUGGCUGGGAGCUGGAGCAGCUUGCUAAGAACAAUGACAACAGCGACACGCGCAAGUCGUUUGUGUUUGAACUGAACGAGUCUACGUCGAGCCGUCUGCUGAAGCUGGAGAAAGAGAACCAGGUUCUGCAGACCACCAUACAGGAGCUCAGAGAGGCUUCCCUAAGUCUAGAGGAGGGCCAGUUACAUACCUUGGAGCUGGAGAGUGAGAACCAGGGCCUCUGCAAGAAGCUGGAGCAUCUGCAGACCCUGCUGGACCAGGAGAAGCAGACAACCCAGGACAUGGAGGGUCUCGGGGAAGAUCUACUCAAAGACAAGCAGAAACUGGAUAAGGCUCUGGAGACACUGCAGGAAGACAAGGACAGACAGAUCUCUGAGCUGGAGCAGGAGAAGGAGCACCUGAGCCAGGCGGUGAGCUCCCUGCGUCAGCGCGCCCAAGCCAACAGUGAGGCUCGGGUCAGGGAGGUGGAGACAGAGAACCGCGUCCUCCACCAGACCAUCACGGACACCGGGUCCAAGCUGGCCCGGCUAGAGGCCCAGGGCAAGCAGUCGACUAAGGAGCUGGAGACACUGAGGGAGAGGGGGGAGCGCUGUGAGGAGCUGGAGAGGGAGACUGCACAUCUUGGGAGGAGCAAAGAGCAGCUUCAGAGGGAGGUGGCGUCGCUGAUGAUUAUGUGUGACCGGGCCGAGGCCCUGGAGAGAGACAACGCCAGCCUGGAGCAGGACAACCGGAGGCUGAAGAAGCAGGCGGACACGGCCCAGAACACCAGCCUGCGCCUGACUACUCUGGAGAAGGACCACAGCCUCCUGGACCAGGAGAACCUGGAGCUCCGCCGCACUGUGGAAUCUCUUCGGCCGGCCGCCGUGCGCCUGGCCCAGCUCCAGCAGGAGAAUGGGGAGCUAGAGCGGGACAGGGAGGAGCUGGCCCGGUCUGUGGAGGAGCUGAGGUCCCAGGGGAAAAGGGCAGAGAGGCUGGAGAUGAGCAUCAGCAGCCUGGGUCAGGAGAACCAGAGGCUCCAGCAGAGCCUGGACAACAGCUCCACAAAGAUCCAGGGGCUGGAAAGGGAGCUAAGGCAGGCCGAGGCCGAGACAGGGGGGCUAAGAAGGGAGCUGGAGGAGGUGUGCCUGGUGGCGAAACGCCUGGAGGCAGUGGAGAAGGAGAAGAGGGGGCUGGAGCAAGAACUGGGCCAGUCAGAGAAGGAGAGUAAGCAGCUGGAGAAGGAGGCACGAAGGCUGUGGCAGCAGCUGGAGGUGAAGGAGAGGGUGCUGGAGGAGAGUGCUCUGAGGCUGGCCUCCCUGGAGAAGGAGGGCAUCACUAAGGAUAAAGAGCUGGAGAGGUUAAAGGAGGCGACUGGGAAGGUCAAAGAGCUAGAGAGGGAGAACAAGGAGCUGCAGAAACAGGCCACGAUUGACAAGAGGACCCUGGCCACACUCCGAGAGGACCUGGUGAAUGAGAAGCUAAAGGUGCAGCAGCAAUGGAACGAGUUGGAGACACUGAGCCAUGAGCUGGAGAAGAUCGGCCUGAACAGAGAGAAACUACUGCAGGAGGAGCACAGCUGUGAAGACAAUAAGUUCAAGAUCUUGGAGAGUAAGAUAGAGUCAACACUGAAGAAGACUCUGGAGAUCCGUGAGGAGAAGAUUCAGGGGCUGGAGUCCCGACUGGAGGAGUCUAGUAGUCUCAACCAGCAGCUGCGCACUGAACUCAGCACUGUGAAGAAGACUCUAGAGGCUCUGCGACAGAGGCAGGAGGAAGAGGAGGCCCACUCCCAGACCCAGAGCUCCACACUGCAGGCUGUAGGUCAGGGCCAGGGCAGGCCUGGCCAGAAGGAGAAGUGGGAGACUGAGACUAGAGAGGCCACCGCGGAGCUCCUCAAACUCAAGGACCGCCUCAUCGACAUAGAGAAGAAUAAUGCAACCCUGCAGACAGAGAAGCACCUUUUGAAGGAGCAGCUGAGACAGCUGGACACCCAGAACAGUCAGCUGAAUGCCCAGACUGUGGCCGUACAGAGGCAGUCUGCUGUACUGCAAGAGCACAACACGGCCCUGCACACACAGACAGCCAAGCUACAGGUGGAGAACUCCACCCUCAACUCCCAGAGUGCAUCUCUCAUGGCCCAGAAUGCUGUGCUGCAGGGCCAGGUGGGGGCGCUGGAGAGUGAGUCAGAGGCGUGGCAGCGGCAGCGGGAGGAGGCGCGGGUGGGGAGGGAGAGCGUGCUGCAGGAUCACGAGCGCCUGCUGAGUGUGCAUGAGAGACAGGCAGCGGAGUACGAGCAGCUCAUCGCCCAACACGCCACCCUGAAGGGCAACCAGAGAGCUCUGGAGCAAGAGCACCGCACACUGGAGAACAAGUACAUAGUGCUCCUGAAGCAGAAAGAUGCCAUGGAGGCACUGGAGUCCACCCUCCAGAAGGAGAGGGAGAGUCUAGGAGAGGAGAUCCACAAAAAUGCCCUGAUCCUGGGGGAGAACCAGAGCCUGAGGGGGGAAGUGGACAGGUUGACCCAGACACAUACCCAGCUACGUGCGGAGUAUGAUGGGCUGCAGGUGCAGACCAAGGAGCUGAAGACUAGUCUGAAUGGAGCGCAGCUGGAGGUGAACCGCUGGCAGGCCAGAUACGACUCAAUGAAGGAGCAGCACCAGGGCCUGGACAUCUCCAUGACCAAGCUGGACAACCACUGUGAGUUGCUGACGCGUCUGAAGGGGAACCUGGAGGAGGAGAACCACCACCUGCUGAGUCAGAUCCAGAUGUUGAGCCAACAGAACCAGACCCUUCUGGAGAGAACUAUGGAGAGCAAGGAGCUCUACCACGAAGAGCAAAAACAGUACAUUGACAAGUUGAACUCACUCCGGAGGCAGAAAGAGAAGCUGGAGGAGAAGAUCAUGGACCAGUACAAGUUUUAUGAUCCAACCCCUAAAAAGAAGAACCACUGGGCCGGGGCAAAGGCCUUGGCCAAACUCAUCAAGCCCAAGAACAGACAGGACAGCUCGAGGGAGAGGGUGCGGAGCGCCCCAGACAUCCCCCUGCCUGAACCUCCCACCCUGGACUUCCCUGACAUACCUCCCCCCCUGCCUCCCCCCCCUCUACCCCCCCGCCAGUCCCGCCUCAGCCUGGACUCUAUGGGGAACCACUCUCAGGAGGAGAACCACCACGGACAGGGGCACUCUCCUACCCUCACCCCCACCCACUCCAGCAGAGCACCCCCAGCCCUGCCAGCGGUACUCCCCGUCACAGCAGCCAAGCGCUUUGGUUUUCUGAGGAGUAAGAGCCAGGAGAAAAUGAAGGUUCCCAAGACGCCUCUCUCACGGCAUUCUCUCUCUAGACAACUUCGCUUCUGGUCCUCCUCUGACAUCUCCACCUGUACCACCGAGCCUCUCUUGCCCAUCAUUGGACAGUUCUAAUACCACCACCACCAUCUUCGUCAUCUUCAUGUUUACCCCCCCCCCCUUUUUUUUUAAUCUACAACAUCUUAACUUUUUGGCCCACUGUCAUAAUUUACUUACAGAAAACUGAUCUCUUAAUGCACACGUUCCUCCCAUCACAACAUACACUAUCACACAUACCAACACACACAAACUGAACUCUGAACUGAACCUUUUGAGGCCUCUAGCCUCAUACCCUGCACACUCCACUGUGGACUCUGGCUUGACCCUGCACACUAAACGACAGUGGAGUGUCCCGAGGCAGGGAGCUGUACCGAAUUCCAGGGGGUAGCAGUGAGAGUGUCAAUGGCACAGAAGAGCUCUACGCCAGAAGAAGAGGUGUGGAGCUAGGGGGUGCUGCUCACUCCACCCUCGCCAACCACACCUCCACUUCAGGCCUGAUACCAAACUCAAGCUCCAGGCCUGGACGCAGACCCAAAGGUUUUAUCCACGAGGACGACCCUCGGGUUCACUCCCCCGAUGCCCUGUUUGGGAGCAGUAUCCAUGGAAACGCAGGUUAUCGACCAGGCUCUGCUGAGCUCAGCCGCAACACCUCCAGCAGCAACUCCCCUGUUAACUGCAAAGAUUCCCUGGAGCGCCUGCAGGGCCGUUCUGCCAGCCUGUCCAGUGAUGACGUAGUGGGCGUUAGUCACGACGUCUCCCACUCCCUGUCUCUCCCCCGGAGCUCCACGGUUCCCUACGACACCCAUACACACACCCCGACCAAGAGGAGUGCACCCCGGCCGGGCCGCCACCGAACCUCCUCCCCUGGCAGCGAUAUGGUCACCUUGGAAGAGUUCCUAGAGGAGAGCAACACCCUCUCACCACCGACUGUGCAGACAGGCAGUCAGGAGGACCUGAUGGAGGACUACUUCAGCAGAACAGGAGAGCGGGAGAGAUCCACCUCCGGCCGGCCCGCUCUGAGAGAUGGAGCCAAGACCCCAACCAGCUAUGUCACGCCCACCGUGAAGAGAGACACAGACCUCCAACGGGCCGGCGAGGUGCCAGGCAGGAACUCUAAACCAGGCCAGAGCGUCAGGCCCAUCGUCCGGCUCCCUGAGGGAUCCACCUCCACACCCCAGUCCCAGACCCUACCCAACCGGGCCAGCAACGGGUUAGGGACAGGGGGGCGGCCCUCACCCCUGGGACCUCCUGCACCCCGUGGAGGUGGUCUGGGCAGCAGCAGUCUGUCUCGGACCUUCAGCCUGGCCUCUGCUGACCUGCUGCGCUCAAACGGUCCAGAUAGCUACCGGACAGACAGGGAGGCAGGUGGCUCACCCAGCCAGAGUGGAGGUGGUGGAAGUGUGGACGGGGUGGUCAGGAGGCCUGGGGCUGGAGCCAUGGCCAGGGAGCGCCCCCACUCUGCCAGGCUAGCAGGACCCUCGGACAUAGACCCCCGCAGGCUGCCUCUGGCUCCACCCAAAGAGGAACCACUCAGCCUGACCCUUCCCCAGCACCACUCCUCCUCCCUAUCCUUGCAGCCCGAGCGAUACGGAGGAAGAACAACACCAGGCUCCACCCCCAGGAACAACGGACCCAGCACCGGACAACAACAGGGACGACCCAACCCCCAGCAGAAUCAGCAGAACCAUCGUGGGGAGGUUGCCAUGGUGACGCCAGUUAGGGCAGUGCCGGCUCUGAGACUGGAGGAGGCACAGGAGGAAGAGGUGCAGCGCAGAGAGGCGCGGCUACAGGCGAACUCCCCGUUACUGAAGAAACCGGAGGUGGGAGGAGGAGGGGGGCUAAGCUGUGGCACAGGGGAGCCCCCCACGAGCACCCCUGCCUCCCCAGACCCCAAUAACGACCCCCAGACUGUGUGGUAUGAAUAUGGCUGUGUCUAGGACCCGUUAGUGUAGUUACAGACCACAGCCCCAGUACUGUACAAACACUGCUCUUCCUGCUAAACCACAGGAUGGCUGGCCUGGUCUGGUCUGGUCUGGCCUGGUCUGGCACUCCUAGGCUGGUCCUUACUGUACUGGAUAUAUCCUUUAUGAUUCGGACUGUUUGAAACUUCCUAACUGUAAUCUUUAAUGGUGAAACCGCCAACAACAAAGAAGUUACUGCACACAACGAACACUGUUUUUCCCCUCCGACAUCAUUACACGCACGACAGGAGAGCAAAAUAUGUACUGCUUGUUUUUUUGUUUUUUUACCAUGCUGUGCAACGUCUUCUCAGCUCGGCAUCAAAAACAAUAACGGCGUUGGUGUGGCGACCAGUGGCGCUGUUUCCCCCUACUGCGGAUUCUAUCUUUAAAGCUUCAUAAAGGAGAUGCUGCCACACAGAGACCACUUCAAUCAACACACAACAGGGGCCUGUACCCAGCUGGCAAAACAUAUGGUUGAUUUGAUUUGCAUGACCAAGGGACCACCAGUAUCGCAGUUACAUUAGCACAUGAAUGCUUUGAGGAAGACAAGGCACUAGGGAGCGACGAAUGUAUUUUAAUAUUUUUCUAUUGGACACCACUGAUUCCCCUCAGCUCUCUGUGCACUGUAUAUACAACCUUGGCCUUGUCCAAGAAGUUAUAUUCUGAAUCUGAAAAACAAACAUUUUGGGGAAGGAGAAAAGAACCACUCCCAGAGUAAUUGCAUGGUAAUUUCUGUCCUCCAUCUUUAGGAGCUUAAGGACAGACAGUGUUUGAUUGUCUCAACACAGCCUCGGAGUAACACAUUACUGGAAAAAGGUCUGCUCCAACUUCGAACAUACUGUUUUCUGUUGUGGCCUGUGGGUGACCAAACUAUGGGCUUUGUGAAACUGGCUUGUGGGGAGCAUGUAAUUCAUCCCAUAUCUGUCCUUGUGCACGCGAGGCAGAACGAGAAAGUAGAGGGAGAGAGCACCGCACUGACCAACUUCCGAAAAGAGAAAAAGCAGGGAUUUUGUAGCAAAAGAGGGGAUACUUUUUAAAUGAAAGGAGUGAAGGAGGAUUGAGAUGGAGAUGGAGCGAAAGUGAGUUUAAAAAAAAUAUAUGGACAAAGAUGGAAAUGGUGACAUGAUGAUUAAAACAGAUGAAGAUGAGAGUUAGAGAUUGGUCAGGUUGAGAAAUAAAACGGUGAAAUAUUUCAUACUGUCCAUGACUGACCACCGUGAAUGCCCCCAGAAACUAGUGUCUAUACCAGAUCUCUACAACCUUGUUCCCGGAGAGAUACCCUCAUGUAGGUUUUCACUCCAACCCCAGUUGUAACUAACCUGAUUCAGCUAAUUAUUAGAAUCUGGUGCACUAGAUUGGGGUUGAAGUGAAAACGUACAAGAUGGUUGGAGAGCCCUGCUAUAUAGUAGAACACUUGUCAGUUUUGAUGUUUUCUAUAUGCAUAUGAUGAAUAUUAUUUUCCAAAAUCAUUCCAAAAAGCACUAUACAAUGAAGUAGAUAAUGAGUCUGAACACUGGAUACAUUUUUUACUACAGAAAACGAGUACAUUGUCGACCAAGGGUUAAGGCUUUGUCUUUUUCAUUUUGAGUUCUUGAUAGUGUUAAAUGUAAUUUUUUUUUAGAUACUGUCUGCUACCCAGCUAUACAAUGGCAAUAAGACUCAAUGUAUUUAUGAUCCCCUCGAUGAUAAAACUACAGUUUGUCUGCAUGUUUUUUCUUUUCUUUUUUCUCACCUAAAUGUGUUUGUUGUGAAGUGAACAGUGUGUGUUUCAUUGUAAGGGUGGUGGUGUUUGAAUUGUGCACAACCUCAUUAAUUCAAAGUAUCGAUGCGUUUUCUGUAUUCGUAAAAAGUCAGUGGAUAAAAUUCUAAUUAGACUCCUGUAUUAGGUGGAUGAUUAGUCUGCCUGUUACAGUGUAACAAUGCAUCAGAUGACUAUAUAGAGCAUGAAAAUUGACCAGAUUUGGCACUUUUCUCUACUAAAUCAAAUUUCCCUUCCACAGCUGUUCUCUUCAGAUUGAUGAAAGGUUGGCAUUCCCAAGAGAAAUAUCAUCUGUUUUGCAUUGAAUCUCACGUGUGUGUGUGUGUGUGUGUGUGUGUGUGUGUGUGUGUGUGUGUGUGUGUUUGUUUGUGUGCGCACACACACACCUAUGCACAAUAUGUGUGCCAUCACCAUGUGUACAGGUGUCUAAGGUCUUGUCUAACUGGUGCACAGUUCCUGUGUGUAAUGUACAGUAGGUUAGAGAUUUGAUUUUGAUAAUCAUGACCAAACACUACUAAAAAAUGACUGGAGUUCUAAAAGACACACCUACCAACAUGCACAGAUACUGAAAUGAAAAUAUUGCAAAUGUUUUCAUUGCUUAAUGUAGAUACAUAGACCUUUUCUGUCCAAGAACAAUGGAAACCUUUUUAAAUAAAGAUUUGUAAAAUGA